rnacentral:lncRNA from 1 species
GCAUCAGUGUGCCUCCCUCUUGUGUAGUCUGAACCCUCAGAAUUAAAGAUGAAUAAAAAUGCCAAGUCAUGGGAAAGUCUGGCCCUAAGAAAAGCAACUGAUGAGCUAUCAGCUCAUGGACUGUCAGCAGGGCCAUCUGUAGGUGAUGCCCUCUCCUCUGUCUAUCCUCUUGUGAGGUCAAUCCAGCAGGAAGUCCAGCCCUGCCGAGAGAAGGGGGUACCAUGAAUGCACCGAUGGGACCAGAGUCCCUUCCGGAGCUCCCCAGGUCCCAGCACUGCUGUCCUCCUUGUCUGCCUGUGUCUUCUGGAGCUGGCCUUGAGGCCCAUGAAGAAAUGCAGCCUUUUGAAGGUAAAGCAAGGACUACUUGAUGCUGAGAUAGACAGGGUGCCAGCACCCAGCUCAGGUCAUGAGAAGCUGAGUUCACUGUAAGAACCCUAUAAACAUCUGCAGCAGAUGGACCUGCCCAAGGUGAGGGUUCAAUUUUCCCCUGUGAGAACAAGCCGACUAGGGAGGUACUAGCCGUGCAUGAGGUCAUCCUGACUCUCCUCUGAGAGAAGGAUGAUUCAGCCUAUGACUCUCCUCCGAGGGAAGGAUGAUUCGGCCUAUGUCCCUGUCUUCCUCUGCAGCCUUGCCCUGACAUCUGGAAAACAGCAACGUUACAUGGAUACUUCCCUCACUCUGAACAGCUCACAAGUUGGCCAGAAAAAUGCUGUGUAAACUCCAGGCCAGGCCUCUAAUUCUCUGGCGGCAGCACCAGAGAAAUGAGGAGAAUGUUCUCCCACUGGCUUCUUCAGCAGGAUCUGUGGUACAUUUCUAAAAAAUAAAAGAAAAAGAAAUCUACAAAGCUGUAAUGCUCUAGCACGUCAUGGCAAAGAUUUUGUUUUUUAUGUUUGAAAAAGAGCUUGAAAGAAUAACACGUUGAACAUUAGGUUAAUAUCUGCUCCUGCUCAAAAAUGAUUUUCUUACACAAGAAUGUCCCUUCCAAAAUGGCUUUUUGUCAGUAGCAUGAAAGCAAGUUUGGCAUGGGCCCAGUGGUGAUUCUGAUGGGAAGUGAAAGGCAGGCACACCCUAACGAUCAAGAUCAAAGGCCCCUAGAGCACCCCAUAUGCAGGAGGAGUCGCCCACUGCCCAAAUGGUGCAGGGCCAUUGCCAAUUUCCCUGGCAUUGCCAGGAGCCUCUGGGAUCUACCAUAAAGCCUUAGACCAAGGAAGGCCUUGUCCCAUACCCAGUGAGUGGAGUCUCUGCCCACCAAGUGCCCACCUGUCUCUCCUGAAGUCUCUCUACAACACUGCCACCACUAGCAACCUCACACACCAUUACAUGGAAGAGUUAAAACAUGAGGGCACAGUAGUCUCCAGGUCCUUGGGGGAAAUUACUGGGCCAGAUUGUAGCCCAUUUUUCUUUAAUUUCUUUCCUUUCUCCCUUCCUACCUCCCUCUCUUCAUCCCCACUUUUCUUUUAUCAGUCAGUUGGCAACAUUUAAAGAGAACUACUCUAAUACUAGGCAUUGUGCACGGGUGAGUCAAGUACUGUUCUCCCUCUCAAGGAGUGCACAGACUAGUGUGGAGACUGACAUUCCAACACGUUAUACCUUUUAAUGGCUUCAUGCUUGUCACAGCAUUAAGUGUAGAAUGUCAGGCAAACAGAAGGAGGCCCUGAGCCAGCCAGGCCAGGCAGGGGUCUUCAACAACUCUGUGGAGUAAUGUAUGAAACCAGGGGAAGGAAAAACACAAGCUGUGGGUCAGACUCAUUGGGGUCAAGUCUGAGGUCUGCCUGCUCGCUCAUUGGCUAUGUAACCCUGAGCCUUGGUGACCUGAAUAGUAGCAUGAGGGUGAUGUUCAUGUCAUGCUGAUGUGGUACAGUGCCCCAUGCAGUACAGCGACACUCAAAUGAGGACACCCAGAGGGCACACCUUGCAUUAAUGCAGAUGUGAAAAUCAUGCAACUGUGGAUCAACUCCCUGCAGCCUGCACAGGCCUGCACCAGCUAUUUCAUAAACCUUGCAGUCAUGCAACCCCAUAUUGUAUUGGAGGGGAUAUUUAGGACCUCACCUCUGGCACUAUGAUCACUAGGAAUCGUAGUAAUCAUAGUAGAAUCAUGGUAGGGAUACUGCUCCUCCACCAUGUUUCCCUCCACUGUUAUAAAUUGACAUUUGGAAGUGAAUGUCUUCUGUUUUUCUGGACUUCACCAAUACAGUGACUGGGCAACUGUUUACAUGUUAUGUCGUUGGCUACUCAAGAACUUCGUGAGCAUGUUUUUCACCAAGCUUUCCUUGGGCAGUUUAUAAUGAACCAUCAAUAGUCUCACAUUUAAUUCAAAAUAAAAGACCUAACAAGGAAUUUUUUAAAUUCUGGUGAACGUGUGGGGAAAUGAACAUCCUCAUGUACAGCUGAUGGGAACAGGUUUGAUGUAACCUUUCUGGAGAGCAAUUUGGCGAUGCAUAUUAAAAGUCUUAUAAUGUUUAUGUCAACCCAGUGACACUACUUGUAAAACUUUACCCUAAUAACCGUUUAUGUGCGCAAAGAUUUAUCUUCAAAUAUCCUUAUUGUAUGAUCCUUAACAAUAGCAAAAAACUGGAA